AUCUAAUUAGAGCUGGAAAUACAUUUGGGAGUGAAGUGAUUUGAAUCUGAGCAGGUCGCCCGCUGCAACACAACGCUGCCAUGGCGAUGGGCUACUUUUCGACGGGAAUAUGCACAUCUGAAAAGAGACCUGGCCCGAUGAGCAUCACAGCUACAACAUUGCUGCCACAGUACAUCUAGAUACAAUAGUUAACGUUGUAUUCAAGUGACCAAGUGGUGACAAGGGAAUCUCGCGGCCACCUUCAGCAGGCAGGCAGUCUACAGUCUACUUCAAGCAUCUGCAAUGCUACACAGUAGAGGGUAUGUGCCAAAGGCCUGGUUGAUGGGCACGAUCAAGCUGCACCAUGCGGUUCUGCGCAAUCAACCUCUGGGAAGCAAGCCUCUGCAUGAUCAAGUGUGGCUUCUUGGCAGAUGAUUGCCUGCAACACUGGUGUUCGUCAACAUAUGUGGCGACUGUCAAGAAAUAUUUCUU